UACGUAGGGUGCGAGCGUUGUCCGGAAUUACUGGGCGUAAAGAGUUCGUAGGCGGUUUGUCGCGUCGUCUGUGAAAACCCAUCGCUCAACGAUGGGCCGGCAGGCGAUACGGGCAGACUUGAGUACUGCAGGGGAGACUGGAAUUCCUGGUGUAGCGGUGGAAUGCGCAGAUAUCAGGAGGAACACCGGUGGCGAAGGCGGGUCUCUGGGCAGUAACUGACGCUGAGGAGCGAAAGCGUGGGGAGCGAACAGG
rnacentral:rRNA from 1 species